ACCUGUCCUCUCUGGAGCGUUCCUGCAGUUCCCUGCCAGCCCAUUGGUGUGGCAAGAAGCAGGAAGGACCAGUGGUUCCAUGCUGCAUCAGUCACAGCAUCAUAGAAGCUGUGGUCCUGGCUGACCCAGAGCUCUUCACAGCUCUACUCAUAUGCUCCAGUCCCAGGCUUGGUGUGAUUGUCACAGCCCCAGGCUGACCCACUGCAACAUGGGCCCUCCUACCAGCAGAGCCGGAGAGAACCAAUGUCCUGCUGGAUAGCUGUUUGGUGGUGCAGGCUGAUGUGGACCAGUGCCAGCUAGGCAGAACAGAGCCACAGAUAGCAUCGCUCCAGGAUUUGCCAGAGGAGGAGGAGGAAGAGGAGGUAGAGGAAGAGGCCACCAGCUCUACAGGUAGGAGUGACAUUGUACAAGGAUCCCCUGGGGACUUUCAGGCUGGUGGCA